CAGCUUGUUGGUGAGGUAAUGGCUCACCAAGGCGUCGACGGGUAGCCGGCCUGAGAGGGUGACCGGCCACACUGGGACUGAGACACGGCCCAGACUCCUACGGGAGGCAGCAGUGGGGAAUAUUGCACAAUGGGCGGAAGCCUGAUGCAGCAACGCCGCGUGAGGGAUGACGGCCUUCGGGUUGUAAACCUCUUUUAGCAGGGAAGAAGCGAGAGUGACGGUACCUGCAGAAAAAGCGCCGGCUAACUACGUGCCAGCAGCCGCGGUAAUACGUAGGGCGCAAGCGUUAUCCGGAAUUAUUGGGCGUAAAGAGCUCGUAGGCGGUUUGUCGCGUCUGCUGUGAAAUCCCGAGGCUCAACCUCGGGCCUGCAGUGGGUACGGGCAGACUAGAGUGCGGUAGGGGAGAUUGGAAUUCCUGGUGUAGCGGUGGAAUGCGCAGAUAUCAGGAGGAACACCGAUGGCGAAGGCAGAUCUCUGGGCCGUAACUGACGCUGAGGAGCGAAAGGGUGGGGAGCAAACAGGCUUAGAUACCCUGGUAGUCCACCCCGU
rnacentral:rRNA from 1 species